ensembl:lncRNA
UUAAACAUAAGAAUUGAGAAAUUUGUUAAUUACAUAUAAGCAUUAAUAAACAAAAUGUAAUAUUUCAACAAAAUCAUCAUUAAAGUUGACUCCAAUGGCCUCCCACUGAGGGGAAGAGAUAACCAGAACAAAGAGCAGGAGAUAUCUACUUAUAAAGAUAGAGCUACUUUUGGACAAACGCACUGACAUAGUAUUUAAAUACUUAUGUUUCAGAAUUAUGCAGGAGAGAAGAACAUUCCUAAAAUUUAUUUACAGCAUACAUAAUCCAAUGGGAUAAGAGAGAAUCAGGAAUGCGACCUCUAAAGAGAACGUGAUCAAAGUAUGAAGGAUUUCUCAGUCCGUGCACUUUGAAUGUAGUUGACUGAAUACCGAACUCCAUGGAAGGACUCAGCCUGGAAAACCAAGCAUCUCAUCAGAUCUGAAGAGAUACACUCUGGAAAGCUUUGCUGCAGCUGUGAGAGGAAGCAUGUGCUCUUUUCCACUGAAAUUGAACCUUGAAACUUGCAGCUACUGAGAGCCAUUUUGCUAGCGUGGGAGUGUAAGAAAUAACACAGUGCGCUGGGAACAGAGUUGAGAGAUGGAGAGACACAGUGUCCUGGUUGUAUCGCGUUAGUCCAUGGAUCCAGCCUCACUAAGCCAUGUACGACCCCGUCUUAGUCAGGGCUGCUAGAACAAAGUACCAGAGACCGAGUAGCUUAUAAACAACAGAAAUUUAUUUCUCGUGGCUCUGGAGGCCGGAAGUCUGAGAUCAGAGCGCCGGCAUGGUUGGGUUCUGGACUGGACAGAACCAAGACUACCACCGCCAUUUUGCAAGCUGCCUCAUUCACAAGCAUCAAUGACAGAAAGUCAGGCACAGAGAGAAGAGCCGCAGUGCCCCCUGUUCAGCGUGUGACACCUGCACCCACAGUGCUCCUAGAGUCGCCCUCACCACUUGCUUGUCCUCUUGGACACAACCACUUAAUAACCGAAGGCCAUAUUCUGGAGAUUGCUGGCAGAUUCUUUUUCUCUGAAGCCUUUAGUAAGACUGGUAAAACGCAAUUCAUAAAACGGACUGGUGUCGGUUCCCUUUUCUCUCAUCCUUGUAAAAGCGCUGAUGGAGGGGCCAGUGCAAAGGAACAGCAGGCUGCAGGAGAAGGAAGGGAGGCCGUGGGGCCCGCACCAGCUCAUCGCAGAUCUGAGAAGGAACGCCAGGCGGGGAAAUCCAUCCUACAGAACACAGUCUACACAGGCCUGGAGAGUCCUUUUCAGUCAGGACUUUCAAGGGCUGCUCUGAGUCCUACCUGCGAGUUGGAUAACGUCCAGGUGUCCGUGCAAUCCGCAUUCCUCAGCCCGGCACUCAAGGCUCUCCAUCAUCUGACCCCAAGCUAGCUCUCCAGUGCCCUCCCCCGCCCCCCUUUCCCAUAGUAACCAACUACCUUCCUCAGACCCACCCCCUCCCAGCUCUCAACCACGUCCGGGAGGGCUCCCACAGCUGUGACUUUGACCUUUCCACCUGACAAACUUCUUACCUCCUUUCCCCUUUCCUAAUUUCAACAGGGAUCAAAUCCAUUCUCUCUCGUCUCGUGACGCUGUCCCCGACCUCCUCAGUCAAAAGCGGCUUGUCUUUCCUCCCAACACUUUCGCUCACGGUGCUCUCUCUUCUCACGGCGCUUCCACACUUCCUUGCACGAUUACCUGUCGCUUAGUGCGCCUUCCAUUUCCGCGAUGAGGUUGUUUACUCCUUGAGGUCAAGCGUGACUCUACCUUAUGUUUCGUAAUCAACCCGGUAGUUCCUGGCACAGUGAUCUGUGCAGAGUAAAUGUUAAAAAAAAUAGUUUGCACUUGAGGAUUGAGGCUGAGUAACACGUCCCCUGCACGUGUCUUUGCUCACAAUCUCUCUGGAGAACGGAGUUCGUAACUGGGCGUCAGAUCCGGGAGAGGCAGACAGGUGGAUGUCGGGGAAAGAAAGACAAAUGGCUAAAUGUUAAGCGGGAGGGGCUGAAGGGAGGGGCCAGGUCAGCAGAGCUGAAAGGAAGCACGUGGGACAGCAGACGCCGCGUCUGCGCAGAAGCUCGGCUCCCAGGACGCCCAGGAAGCGCGCCUCCCACGCCCCACCGCACGGGCCGCCCAGGCGCACAGGUGGGAGCUCGCUCGGUCGGGUUCCCCCGCCACUGACGCAGCAGCUCCCGGCAGCCGGAAAGGGUCCACCCCGCGAGGAGGACAGCUCAGCACGUCCGCGGGAAGGCCUGAGGCAGCCUCGGGGGCCGCACGCCUCGAAGGGCCGGCGCGGGCCUGCGCAGAGGGCGGACGGAGCGGCGCUCGGGACCCGGCGUGUGGCUCGGGGAGGCCACUCGGCACCUUGGGGGCUCGCUUCCCGCAGCCUGGCUGAUAGGAGGUACCGCCUCCCUGCCCUCCUUCCCAGCACAGACUCUGUCCAUGCGGGCAGAAUAUGAUCAACUGAAGUGCCUUUCCCAUCGUUCCUUGCAGAUGGGGUGAGAUCAUGGUUCAGAAAUCACUGAAGUGGGUUUUUUGGAAAUCUCUUUACAGAGAACCUAGAAUCUCCUUUAAAGAGAGUUAGGAGGUGUGCCCCUCUGCAUUUCAGCUUCCUUUCUUCCUCCUCCCACCUGGAACAUGGAUGUGAUGGUGGGAGCUAAAAUAGCCAUCUUGCUACCAUGAGGCUAUCAAGAGACUAGAGGCCCUUCACUGUGUCUGGUGAAGAGAGAGGUGAAAGAAGCCUGGGUCUCUGAUAGCCAUGGAGCUGGACCAGGAUUGACCAUCUCUGGAGAUUUUAAUGUGAAAAAAAUAAACCCCUUUCUUGUUUCGGCCGCUAUUUUUCCCGUCUCUUUACCAGUAACCAAAUGCAAUUCCUACUUCACAGCAUUGUUAUAUAAAUUAAAUGAGACAGUAUAUGUAUAAAGGGUCCAUAUAUGUGCUAUUAUCCUUUCUUCAUACCAUUCAUAAAAAACAUUAUGGACUAAAUAAGGCUCAGGACAUCAAUUUAUUAAAACCCUGUCAUUUUAGUUAGUUUUUGUUUUUUUUGGCUUACUUGUUUGGUUGACAAAUAUUUUAAAAUAUUACUACUUCACAUAUAUAUAUCACGAAUAAUUGCAAACUCUCUUCUUCUACUUGUCAACUGGCCCCUCUGGGUUUUUGUUGUUGUUGUUCUUUGUUUUGUUUCAUUUUUUAGCGUUUGUGGACGCGCAUGGGGUCACAGAACUUAUCCACACACAGAAAGUCCUUGCCUGGCUCUGCCUGGCCAGCGCCCAUCCAUUCUUCCAGCUCAUCUGACUCCCUCCGUCUACAGUAGCCACUGUCCACCAGUGCUGCUCCCAGAUCCUUCCGUGCCUGAGCCCCUCAUCAGUUAACCUCACCAAAUGAUUCAGCGCUGAGUAAUUUUCUUCUUCUCUUGCCUUUCAGUUGUUUGAUAUGUGGAAUUCUUAUCCUCUGCACUAAACUGUUACUUCCUUGAGAGAAGAGACUACAUUCUUUAAGGAGUGUCCAAAUAAGAUCAGUGUCACGAGGCACGGAAGGACAUCAUUUUGUUGUUUAGAUUCAGCACAACUUAGGGUUGCUUCUCCUGUCCCCCAGUCGCUAAUAGUGUCCAGCACAGAGCUUGGCACGGCAAAGAUGCCUAAUAAAUUCAUGCUAAAUGGAAUUGAAAACCCUUUGCCUUGUUUAGGUCAUGAUGCCAGAAUGAAAAACAUUCAAAUGAUAUUCAAUCAAGAAUUUUCGUCUGAAAAGUCAAAGUAUUGCCCAACGAACUUGAUGUAUGGGGAGAACAAGUGCAACUGAAAAGAACACAGAGCUAGCCAGGACGAAGUGGAAAAGUACCAGGCUGGUCAAGAACCAUUUCCCAGUGCUCUGUGUCCUGCACUGACCAAAGAAUUUGUUCAAUCCAAUCAAGGAAGUCCUUCGGUUGAAUGCCAGUGAGCUCCUCUCCACCUCAGGGAGGCAAAGGCUGAGCUUGCUGUCUCAGAAGAAGCCCAUAUCUGCAUAUUUUAAAUUUUCUCUUAGGAUGGCUGGCACAGAACAAUUAUCAUUUCCACUAUCUCUUGUUUGGAGGAGGUAUUUUCAUGCUAAGUCAGAGAUUAAGUAUAACAUUUAAUUUAAUUUUCAGUUUUCCAUUUCCUUUACAGCUUUGAAACAGAAAUUACUUUUAUUAAAGUAUGAAUUGAAAGUCAAAACAAAAUGUGGUGGCAGAAUUUCAAGUGCAUAACAAAAAAGAGAGUCAAAAGGUAAGGAAUUCAUUUCCACAUCUGAGGAUUCAAGCAAGUUGCCAGUAAACUAAAAUGUAACUAAUAAUAAUUCAAUGAAUAAUUUUAAGGGUGUCCAGCAAUUUUCUGUCAAUAAAGGUGGAGCAUACAGAGAAAAUUCUUUAUUUUUAUUAUACAGUGAAUAUAUGCCCCUCAGAGAAAAAAUAGGAAAUAUAGAUGCAGAUAAAGAAAAAAAAGAGAAGAAAUAUUUUUAAAUCAUCCAAGAGCCCCCCACGGAGACGAGAAGAGCAACUGUCGCCAUCUGGAGGUAAACCAAUUGAGAGUAUAUCAGCUGUCAACAAGAUGAUGAGUUGGAUCCUGCCUGACCUCCCACAGCUGAGGCUGAGGCCAGUUGAGGGUAAAGGCAGUCAUGACUUCACACUCUAGCCGUCAGGUCUGGGGCCAGCCUUCCUCCUGCGGCCCCACUGGGAAGUCCGGUGCAGCCCUGGCACCAAGUUCACUCUCUCCCCACCCACGCUUUACAGAAGAUGAAGAGGAAAGGCAAGAGGAGGCUUCUUCCUCUCCCACGUGGAAGAAGAGGAGGGUGUUUUCUCCUGCCUGAAGCCCAGUGAGGGGAACUCCAAAAGAAUCCUCCCUAAGUGUUGGAGGUGACUGUAAGGUGGGACACCAGCAACUUAUUCUCAGCUAGGUGCUGGCUCAGGGACAGACUCAUGUAUGUGCUUCCUAUAUGGGAACAGACCAUGCUGAGGGUCCUUUCCUUGGGAAAGCACUUGGGGAUCUGAGAAUCUAGGAAUGUAGCAGUUAGAUUUUAGCAACUUUUUCCAUCUAUGGGGGAAAGAGGGUUUGCUUGCCAUAUGUCCCUUGAGGUUUGGGGGUACACUUAGCUUGGAGAGUUCUGAAAGUAGGAGACUAUCUUUGAAAGGAUGUAUCAAUGGUGCUGGAUAUAAAGUACUUGGAAAGAAGAGUGGUCCAACCCCCACUCCAUUCUUGUUUUCUCCGUGUCUUGUAGGGCACAAAAAGACACUGGUAGUUUUUCUGGCUCCACAUAAAAAAGCAUGGGAAUUAUGAGACAGGAGCCUUGAGCCUGUCCAAAUGUGUUUUUUGAGGGCCAAGUAAUGAGGUAUUCAACUUUGAGAGGGCAUUGAGAAUACAUAGAGCAGGUGGGCCGACACUCCUGCUCUCUGGAG